rnacentral:rRNA from 1 species
UACGUAGGUGGCGAGCGUUAUCCGGAAUUACUGGGCGUAAAGCGCACGCAGGCGGUUUCUUAAGUCUGACGUGAAAGCUCCCGGCUUAACUGGGAGAGGUCGUUGGAAACUGGGAGACUUGAGGCGAUGAGAGGGAUGCAGAAUUCCUGGUGUAGUGGUGGAAUGCGUAGAUAUCAGGAGGAAUACCAGUGGCGAAAGCGGCAUCCUAGCGUCGGCCUGACGCUCAUGUGCGAAAGCGUGGGGAGCGAAC